rnacentral:rRNA from 1 species
UACAGAGGGUGCGAGCGUUGUCCGGAAUCACUGGGCGUAAAGGGCGCGUAGGCGGCUCGGUAAGCGUGUGGUGAAAGCCCGGGGCUCAACCCCGGGUCGGCCAUGCGAACUGUCGAGCUGGAGCACGGUAGAGGCACAUGGAAUUCCGGGUGUAGCGGUGGAAUGCGUAGAGAUCCGGAAGAACACCGGUGGCGAAGGCGGUGUGCUGGGCCGUAGCUGACGCUGAGGCGAGACAGCGUGGGGAGCAAACAGG